AAGAGAGAGAAAGAGAGAGAUAGACAGACAGACAGACAGACAGACAGACACAUAGACAGAGAGUCAGAGAGAGAAUUAAUGUCAAAUGUCUUACUUUAUUCGGCUCAGUGUUAUUUUUGAGACAGGGUCUCUCACUGAAUCUGAAGCUCCAUUUUAGUCAUAUCCUGUUCUACUGUUGUUUUGAGAGAAGGUCCCACUAUGAAUCGUGCAUCAGUUUGCAAGUCACUGUCUAGCCCAGUUUGCUCUUGAGCUCACAAUCUCCUUGCUUCAUCUUCCAGAGAUAUGACUGGUAUUUGGCACUAUGCCUGCAUAAAUUUUUUUCCUUAAUCUUUCACCUUUUUCAAUACAAUAUAGAUAGGAUCAUUUUGUGUUUGUAACUGCUUAUUACGGAAACAAUUGUCAAAAAAUGAGAACCUUUGUAUAAAAUACAACAUUUAAUAAGUGAACUUGAAACAACCUAGAAUAUCUUAUUAACUAAGUAACUCUUCUAAAAAGGGGUGCAUCUCAUUGUAAUGCUUAGAUUAACUAAAAUAAGAGUUUAACCUUUAGAGGAAAACAGUAAGAUUAAACUACGUUAGCAUAAGGAAUCAUUGCAAAUCAUUCUUUAUUAAUUGAAAGCAGUGGAUGAAGAGAUGAGGAAGGGAGGUAAAUUUGGUUUUCACUCAUAGGAUCAUUUGACAAUAUUUGUAGAUGCUGCCAUUUUGGAAGUGAGAGGCAGUAGUACUGACAUAUGUGGAAGAAGCCAGGAGUCCUACAGUACAUCUUGCAAUGAACAUGGUAGCCCUCAUAACAAAGAAUGACAGCUCCAAAGUUAGGAAGUCCAUGCCUAGGGGAUUAGUGGUGACAUUCCCUCUAGAGAUAUAUGUGGUUACUAAAGAGAUGAGAGAGAGUACACCAGCCUUUCCUUACUUUCAACUGCACUACAGUCACAAACUCCAAAUGUUCUGAAAUGUAAAAUUUAAAAAGCAAAUAACCCAUUUUAAACUUGAAAUUACUUUUUUUGUGGUAUGUGUGUAUCAUCAGAGCUCUCUAAAGUUUGUUUAAAAAUUUCUGGGAGAGCAUCCAUAUGUAGUUAAUUACUUUAUGUAUUUCAUUUUGGUUUCUUGCCUUUCAUUCUACCAAAGAUUUACUCAUGCUAAAACUUUGACAUUAACCUCUAUCAUCAUUAACAAAAAUGUUGUUUAAUACAGAGAAGAUUGGGGCUUGAUAAAAGGCUCAAGUGGUUAAGAAGGCAUGUUAUUCUCCUCGUGAAUCCAAGUUAGAGUCCUGGUACCUAAGUCAGAAGCACACAAUUGCCUGAGACUCUAGCUCUAGGGGAUCUAAUGCCUCUUGCCUCUACCUCUAGUGACACGUGUAGCACACAUUCACACACACACACACACACACACACACACACUCACACACACACACAUACACACACAUACACACACAUACAGAGACUUACACACCCCUUUAAAAACAAAAUAAAUCUUUAAACAAACAAAAACAUGUCAUCUAAAUUAUUAGAUUUGAAAUAAGUUUUUCAAGGACCUAUACGGGGACAUAACAAAGCUUAAUCUACACAUAAAAUUCAUAAAGCUAGUUAUGAAGUUGAAUUUUGGAAUUACUUGCAAGGUUAUAAAUUAUAAUCCACUUUUCAAUGGAAUUUUUGCUUGACAUAUUGCCUUGACAGUAUAUCUAUUUAGUUUUAUAAACUAGAUACAAGCAAUUACCUUUCCUAGACCUUUAGUCCAUGAACUAUAAUAUUUGAAUCCUGGGUUUGAAUCAUAGCUAGAACCUUCAAAAAGUGAUUCCAUAGUUUUAUAAGUCUUUCCAUAUAAGACACAUUGACACACACAUAUGAAUAUAUAUUUACAUAUGUAUAUAUUUAUGUACAUAUAUUUUACAAGCUCCAAAGCUUUCCCUAUACCUGUAAAUCCAUAGUUAAAAGUGACUGAGGUAAAAGUCAGUCUAGUCAGCAAACAUGCUUAGUUACUGUAUCAAAAUAGAGGAAAACUUCCAGGCAAGUGAAGCUCAUGUUUUCUCUUAGUUUUGACUUUAUGUGCUGAUAAUCAGGAAGAAACCAGGACCUGUGCCUGAAAGCAGCUAGCAUGUGUAGAGUGUGCACUGCCAGGGUCUAGGCAGAUAGAAAGAGCAUACUCUAGAAACAAGUGGGGUAUGGUUUGCAGCAAUGAAGAACUAUCAAUACUGGUAACUGCAGAAUGAAGAUUUUCUUAGAUUUUUAUCAGUGACGUGGUGAUAGUGUCAAUCCACUUAAAUAAACGGAUCUUUGGCAAAUAGUCCUGUCUGUUGACCACCUGAUAUCUAUUCCCUGAUUUUUUCUGCCCUGUAGAGCAUAGUUGUUACAGAGCUUUCCCACUCUCACAUGCUACAAGAAACUGGCCACUCCCUCCAUAGGUUCAUGAUAACCUAUCUGAGAGCUUUUAUGGAGAUUAUAAUCAUCUUGAUAGGCUGAUUUAAAGAGGAAGAAUUAAGGCCAAUGACAUUGGAGGAGCUAACUCUGUUUAGGCUCUCUAUAAAGCCAGGGAACAGCUUUAGAGUCAAAAGAGAUUCCCAUAACCAGUCUGAAAACUAACAUCCUUGACCCACUGAAUUUCAAGGAGAUAUCUCUGUGUAGGUUGUUUUCUUAGUAUAUCUCCUACUUUCAAAUCAAAGGCUUUCUAGCAGCAGAGAUACCGUUAUCUCUCAUCAGUCAUCCUGGUGUCCAUAAUCUUUGUUUAAUCUCAGUUUGCUGUAUCUUCCUUAGUUACAAUACUUCUUUACUGGAAGAUAUACUUAAUUAAACACUUUAAGCCUAUGUAUUGCAAGACAAUCGGGAACAAAACUAGAUAAAGUUGGCCUUAUAUUGCAGUUUAUAAUGAUUAUUGUCUAGUGAUUAAAUACUCAGAAUGCUGCAAAUAAUUUCCUUUUGGCAAAAGAAAUGGACAUGGUUAAAUUUAAAGAAGAGAUUGUAAAGAAUAAAAAACAAGUAUGCAUAAGACAAGCAAUUGUUCUCCUGCCUCCCCAGACAGGGAAAUUGGGUUUUAUUCGCAGAAUUAUGGUAUCUGUGAAGUUGUGAAUUCAGAGUAACUAAAAGUCUCCUGGAUUUCUUACUUUCACAUUGUGUAUGAGGUUUGAAAUACAGAAAAAAAAUAUUUUGACAAUGGAGUGUCAGUAGAAACCACCUGGGAGUUGCCUUUGUGAGUCACAGUUCAAGAGUUGAUCAUAUUUGUGACACAUCUGAUGCGGGAUUGUAGGUCACUUGGAAGACGUCUGUGCGGCCUCCUCUUUAGACCUGUCACUUUUACCUCGUGUGCUGAUCAAAUUAAGACCAUGACAGAAUUUCAUAGCAUGAGAAGCUUUCUGUAAAAUAAAAGUCUCCUUGAAAUAAGGGAGACUAUAGACAAUGUUAGUAAUGAUCAAAGCUGCACUCUAGAAACAUUUAAUCUUUGAAAAUUAAAAUGUCCUAUUUUUAGUGCUUUAAGGAUAGAAUUAUUUCUUCCACCUAUUGCUAAAACUACAUUUCAACACAAAUCAUGCUCCCUGUAUUAAAUCCAUUUACAUCUGAGGAGACUGGAUUAGAAUUUUUAAGACAGACUUAUUUUAACAUGUAAUAUUUUGGUGGGUGUUUUUCUUCAUUGAUAUACAGAAUUAGGGUUUCACAUAAAGAAGACCUAUAGCUGAUUUGCAUGGCUUUUAUUUAAUCUCAUUUAAUAAAUAAUUUGUGUUGCAAGAGUCUUAUCUUGUACUCAUUAAUAAUAAUGUUAAAAACCCAAGUGAAUUCAAAUAAUUUCCCAAUCUUUUUUUAAUAUUUAAAUGUUUUUUAAACUCAUUGUGAUCAUUCCAUAGAGUUUUAAGUGGUUUAAAAAAUUAUAUCAGGGACAGAUAUUUGCUUCCUAUUUCCUCCCAUUGAUAAUUUUUGUCUUUAACAGCAGUAACUAUUUUGACUUCGAGCUUUGUCAUCAUGUGCAAAAGUUAAUGUUAUGAUCACAGAGAUGAGAACUUAACUAUAAACACACACAUACAAUCACACCACAGACUCCCUCUCCCUCUCCCUCUCCCUCUCUCUCUCUCUAUCCCUCUCUCUCCUAUAAUGAGUUAAAAAUGACAUGUGUGGGGCUCUGAGAUGUUUGCCAGGUAGUAACCCUGGUUGCCAAGCCUGGCAACCUGAGUUCAACCUUUGAAACUCAAGUAAUGUAAAUGGAGACCUGCCUCCUUUUCAUGCUGUUUUCUGGCCUUUCCUCAAGUAUUUUGGCACAUGCAAUUCACACACACACACACACACACACACACACACAAAAUAAAACAAAUAAAAUUAAAAUAUUAAUAUUGAUUUAUUAAAAUUUAAUUUAUUAAACUCUCCAACUUUGAUUUGUAGAAAUACAUGUAAGAACAUUGUAUUUAAUUAAAUGUGUAGCCUCACUACUUAAUAAUGAUAUUUUCCUUUGCUAUUUUAUAGAAGAUGUAUAUAGAAUAAUCAGUGUUUUCAAGUCUUUAGGUAUUCAUCUGCAUGUAUGAAAAAAUAUCCUACAAAUACAUUAUAUACAUUCAGAGAAUAGAGGCUUUAAUUCCAUUGUUAUACUGAAUUUUGAAAGAGAAUUUUGAAUAUUUAUAAAAACUGAAUCAUCUCCAAAUAUUAAGUAUUGAAAUAUUUUUUCUUUUUUAAAAUUUCAUGGAUUUUACCAUUAGGUUUAAUAAUCCCAGCUAUUAAUUUAUUUUGAAAUAUAUUAAAAGUAAUUAAAAUUUUCUUGUAGAAAAUUAACAUAAAAUACUUUUAAAAUAAAUCUAUGUCUCCAGUGGUGGCUACUGAAACUGAAAACAUUUAGAGCCAUGAUGUCUACAAAGCCUCUGAUGUUUGUAUAGCUCAUUACCACCCAUUGAUUUUCUACAACUAUCCAUGUUUUCAGUCAUGAUAUAGGUGCAUGAUCAAUAUAACAGCUGAAAUUCUACUGGUAAUUGCAGCAAUAUUUCCAUUCCAUGACAUAUAAGAGGAGAAGAGUCAACAAGACAUAAUAAACUAGAUUUUAUGAAGAAAAUACCAAGUAUAUCAUAAUAAUUAAGUUUUAUGCUUUAAUUUAAUGUUUUUCAUUUAUUUUGUCUCAUUAUCUUAUGGGUGCUCUGCCUAUGUAUGUCUGUAUAUUGCGCAUAUGCACUGCCUACGGAUGCCAGAAGGCACUGGAUCCUGUGGAGCUGGAGUAAAACAUGGUCCUGAGCUUUCAUGUGGGUGCUGGGAGUAAAAGCCAGGCGUUCUGCAAGAGCAGCCAGUGCCUUUAUCUGCUGAGCUAUUCCUCUAGCCUCUUAUGUUCCUCCAUAAUCUUUGUUGUAUUGAAAAUGGAUUUCUAUACAAUAUAUUCUGAUUAUGAUUUCUCCUUCCACAACUCCUACUAGAUUCUGUCCACCUACCCGAAUCCAUACCUCCCCUGAUCCCUCUAUCAUCAGAAUGCAAACAGACUGCAUGUUCAGGAACCACAAAUACAUCUGCCCUGGCAUCGUGGAAGAAAAGCAUGAGUGCUUCUCAAUAAGUUUAAUGGAAAGGAAAGCUGAUUCAUUAAAAUCUUCAUAAAUGAUUUUUAUUCUUAUAAUUAUUUGCGAUGGUCACUGAUCCAUAAAGUUAUUGUGGAACCCUUCCACCCACCCUGUCCAAAAUCCCAUUUAAGUGUUUUCAAAAUAGAGAAUAGACCUAGCAUAAUACUCUGUAAAUUUGCAUUCAGAAAUUAGAGUUAAUCAUCUGUAAUGUGUGUCAGUAUAAAAUGUGAAUUUAUUGUAUAAUCAUUUAAUUAAUUAGCAAAUGUUUCAAUAUGGAAGAGCAUAAGUGUCAUUCCCAAAAAUUUUAAGACAAUGUAACUGAAAAAAAGCCUAAUUGUCCAGAAUGAAGGUGCAGGAUUAAGCAGUGGAUGGUGAAAUGUGUCUAGCAUACAGGCAUUUCCGUUGUUUUGAUCUCUAUACUGGCAAAACAUAAACAAACAAACAAACUUAACAGUAAAAAAGGAAUAUUUACACUAUCUGGCAUUGUGUUUAGAAAAAUAUUCAUUGACUUCCAUAGGACUUCUAUAUAGUUUGAAAAGAACACUGUUUCUGUUUUGUGUUCUGUACUUGGUGUGUGCUUUUGUUUCACUUUGUUUAUAGAAGUGAUAGUGUUACAGGCAUGCACCACUCUACCCAGUCCCAUUAUUGUUUACAAUUUUUCCUACAGGUCAUCACCCGGAUUCAACUCUUGCCAUGGCCUCCUGACCCUCUCCAAAUUUACUAACUUUAUUAUCCUUACACACACUCACACUCACACACACACACAAACACACACACACACACACACACACACACACAGAGAGAGAGAGAGACAGUAUGUUUUUUGUUAGCUAACUUCUCUUGAGCAUGAGUUCUGCCCUUGAUUGUGAUUAAUACACAUAGUGUGACUCCACUGAAGAAAAACGAUUUUCCCACUCCGAGGUGGCGUCAAUUGCAAAUAGCUUCUUGGAUAGGGGUGAGAAUUCAUGUCCACGUCCUCUUUUCUUGUUGGAAUGUUUGUCUUUUUGAGUUUAUGGAGGUUUUGUGUGUACUGUCACAAUCUCUGUGAGUUCAUAUGUUGCAUUUGGAACACACUCUGUCUUUGGAGCCACCUACUACCACUGGUUCUGAUAAUCCAUCUGCUGCUUCUUCUGUGUAAGAUCCUUGAAUCUUGAGGCUAGGGGGAAUGAUAACGACCACAUUAAAGAGCGAGUACACAAAAAUAUGUCAUUCUCAGCAGAUUGUUCAGUUAUGGGUCUCUCUGUUAAUUGUUAUCUAUUAAAUAAAGAUUUUUAUGAGGUUUGA